rnacentral:rRNA from 1 species
GGAGGGGAAUCAUUACUGAGGUGGAGCUCUACAGCCCUUUGUGAACAUACCUAUAACUGUUGCUUCGGCGGGUAGGGUCUCCGUGACCCUCCCGGCCUCCCGCCCCCGGGCGGGUCGGCGCCCGCCGGAGGAUAACCAAACUCUGAUUUAACGACGUUUCUUCUGAGUGGUACAAGCAAAUAAUCAAAACUUUUAACAACGGAUCUCUUGGUUCUGGCAUCGAUGAAGAACGCAGCGAAAUGCGAUAAGUAAUGUGAAUUGCAGAAUUCAGUGAAUCAUCGAAUCUUUGAACGCACAUUGCGCCCGCCAGCAUUCUGGCGGGCAUGCCUGUUCGAGCGUCAUUUCAACCCUCAAGCUCUGCUUGGUGUUGGGGCCCUACAGCUGAUGUAGGCCCUCAAAGGUAGUGGCGGACCCUCCCGGAGCCUCCUUUGCGUAGUAACUUUACGUCUCGCACUGGGAUCCGGAGGGACUCUUGCCGUAAAACCCCCAAUUCUCCAAAGGUUGACCUCGGAUCAGGUAGGAAUACCCGCUGAACUUAAGCAUAUCAAUUAAAGCGGGAGGAAA